rnacentral:rRNA from 1 species
GACGAACGCUGGCGGCGUGCCUAAUACAUGCAAGUCGAACGCUUCUUUCCUCCCGAGUGCUUGCCCUCAAUUGGAAAGAGGAGUGGCGGACGGGUGAGUAACACGUGGGUAACCUACCCAUCAGAGGGGGAUAACACUUGGAAACAGGUGCUAAUACCGCAUAACAGUUUAUGCCGCAUGGCAUAAGAGUGAAAGGCGCUUUCGGGUGUCGCUGAUGGAUGGACCCGCGGUGCAUUAGCUAGUUGGUGAGGUAACGGGUCACCAAGGCCACGAUGCAUAGCCGACCUGAGAGGGUGAUCGGCCACACUGGGACUGAGACACGGCCCAGACUCCUACGGGAGGCAGCAGUAGGGAAUCGUCGGCAAUGGACGAAAGUCUGACCGAGCAACGCCGCGUGAGUGAAGAAGGUUUUCGGAUCGUAAAACUCUGUUGUUAGAGAAGAACAAGGACGUUAGUAACUGAACGUCCCCUGACGGUAUCUAACCAGAAAGCCACGGCUAACUACGUG